AAAAGGUGGCUUCGGCUACCACUUACAGAUGGACCCGCGGCGCAUUAGCUAGUUGGUGAGGUAACGGCUCACCAAGGCAACGAUGCGUAGCCGACCUGAGAGGGUGAUCGGCCACACUGGGACUGAGACACGGCCCAGACUCCUACGGGAGGCAGCAGUAGGGAAUCUUCCGCAAUGGACGAAAGUCUGACGGAGCAACGCCGCGUGAGUGAUGAAGGUUUUCGGAUCGUAAAGCUCUGUUGUUAGGGAAGAACAAGUGCCGUUCAAAUAGGGCGGCACCUUGACGGUACCUAACCAGAAAGCCACGGCUAACUACGUGCCAGCAGCCGCGGUAAUACGUAGGUGGCAAGCGUUGUCCGGAAUUAUUGGGCGUAAAGGGCUCGCAGGCGGUUUCUUAAGUCUGAUGUGAAAGCCCCCGGCUCAACCGGGGAGGGUCAUUGGAAACUGGGGAACUUGAGUGCAGAAGAGGAGAGUGGAAUUCCACGUGUAGCGGUGAAAUGCGUAGAGAUGUGGAGGAACACCAGUGGCGAAGGCGACUCUCUGGUCUGUAACUGACGCUGAGGAGCGAAAGCGUGGGGGAGCGAACAGGAUUAGAUACCCUGGUAGUCCC
rnacentral:rRNA from 1 species